GUCGUUGGUCUGUGUUGUUUGACCAGUGAUAGUAGUAGUUGAUAAUGUCGAUAGUGUACCAAUAAGGAUUAUGUUAAUUACGAUAAAAAUAUUGCUAACAAAAUAUUAGUUAAGACUAACUGCUAAUAAAUACCUCGUAUUUAUUUAAUUGUUACCUUUGUAACAUAAAAUAAAUGAGGUUUUAAUUCUCAACUAAUAUUCCUAAUACUAUUUAGAAUGAGCAUAAUUGUGUUUAUUAAUUGAUAUAGAUGUAUCAUAUCGAUUUGAUGCUUGUCCUUUUUUGUCUGUAUUCUGCACUUUAUAUGUAACAUGAAUGGUGUUAUUAUUCGUGGGAGAAGACAAAUAAAUUGUAAGGGAGAUCUGCCAUCUAAUACAGAAAUCAAGAUAUCGGCUGCAAAAUUAAACAUGUACUAGUGUGAUGAAAUGGAACAUUUAGGUAACAUUAAUAAAAAAAAGCUCAAAAGUAAUUCGAAUGUAACGAUGUGGGGAAGUAAAUCAGAAGUUCACGUGAGUCAGAUUAUUAAUAAUAUCUUAUCUAACCAGAUCAAACAUUCCCUUGUUAUUUUCUUGAUUUGUUGAGUUUGUCCGUAUUUGGUAUGGAUCUAAAUCAAUGCAUAGAUCUAGAUACGGAAAUGGCAGCUGAUGUUAUACUCACAUCCAUUUACGAGUAUACUACACCGCGCGCAUUGAUCUUAAACUUUCUCUAUAGUCAACUUACCACCAAAGUAGUGAUUAGUGAGAGGAACAUCUAGGGGUUAUUUGAUUACCUAGUCACAUAUAUGUGACCACAAUGGACGGACAUAUAAAUAAAUAUAUAUAUAUAAAAGAAGAUACCCACAAUGUUUCUAAUUUAAGCCUUACUUAGUGUCAUAAGGAAUCAUAGAAAUGUAACAUAAGAUAAUACAAUUGAUCAUGAUGAAUCAUAGAAAUGCAACCAUCAAACUAAGAAUCAUAUAAUGUCUGCACAUGCGUAUAAUGUCAUCAAUCAUAAAAAUGUAACCAUUAAUCUAAGAAAUUUACACGUUUCUGAAAUGUGAUUAUUCAGAAUUUGGCAGAUGUUGAUAUCAUUAUAAUUUUUUCAUCAGAGUAUGAUGUUCUUUGUAUACCUAAAUAAUCAUUUUAUAGUCACCCAAAAUAACUUGACAGAAGCCAAUGUUUCUUGUUUCUUGAUUAACUUCUUUCUAAACUCAGUAUUCUAAAUAAGAUGUAUUCCUCUGUCUAAAUAAUUUUCUUCAAUGUGCAUAAUUAAAGAGACCAGGAAACUAAAUUUCAACUUGCUCGUAUAGUACGACUUUUAAAUACUUGAGUUUUCAAACCCCAGCAAUACGUCAAGAUUCUAAAUAUUGAUGUGUAAUCAAAGGUUUUAAAAGCCUUGAAGUCAAAAAUUUGAACAAAGCCACGUGACUCCCCAAGAAAAAACCCCACAAAAUAUGGAAACCCAAGGUCAUGUAUGUGGACCUUGAGGGAGAGCAAAAGAGCGAUAAAAAAAAGAAGUGUGAGGUCAUGUAGCUACUUAAAUCCAGAUGCUUUCACUGAUGAGCAGAUCCAAGAGUUUUACGAAGCCUUCUGUGUUCUGUCUCAUCGACAAACACUCCGAUGUCUGUUUGAUUUUGUUUUCUUUUAUCUCAUUCCAUACACAGUUUCUACAUCAUAAUUGAUCAUAGACGAUGAUGAUGGAUUAGUUGAUUUAUGUAUGUUGGGUUCAUCACUAAAGAAAAGAUAACAAAAGUGAUGAAAUCGAUGGGAAAGAAUCCAAAGGCGAAACAACUUCAAGAGAUGAUGAGCGAUGUCGAUAUCUUUGGCGACGAUGGUAUCAUCACUUUUGAUGAUUUCUUGUAUAUAAUGGUUCAAAACACUUCUCAGGAAUCGGCAUCGGGUGAGUUGCUAGAAGUAUUCAGAGUGUUCGACAGAGACGGAGACUGUAACAACCCGCCCCGUGGGACCCAGGCUGACAGCGCUGCAGCGCACCGACCCCAACCCCUCCAUUAUGGGAACUACCUGCCCCAUAAUUAGGUUGUUGGUAAGAUUCGAACCCCCGACCUCACCCUUUAACAGCCUUCCCACAAGACAAGCUGUCACCAAUUGAUCUGCAGUUCAAUUGGUGACAGCUUGUCUUGUGGGAAGGCUGUUAAAGGGUGAGGUCGGGGGUUCGAAUCUUACCAACAACCUAAUUAUGGGGCAGGUAGUUCCCAUAAUGGAGGGGUUGGGGUCGGUGCGCUGCAGCGCUGUCAGCCUGGGUCCCACGGGGCGGGUUGUUACAGAGACAGUCUGAUAUAUGCACUUGAGUUGGGAGAAGGUAUGAAGGACAUGGGGAUGAAGAUAACGGCGGAAGAGGCAGAGCGUAUGGUGCGAGAAGCUGAUCUCGACGGUGAUGGUUUUCUCUCUUUCAUGAGUUUUCCAAAAUGAUGAUUGCUGCCUCUUAUUAGCAUUUUAUAGCUAUGAUAUAAGGGUUUGCACUUAUAUAACUUCUCAAUGUGUAAAAAAUUGAUUGAUUGGUAGUGGCCGUAGGUGCUGUCCACAACCCUAUUUAUUUUUACAGCAUUAAAUUCAUAGCAAUUACGCUUUAAUAAAAAAUUUAAAAUCACA